GUCUUUUCAGCUUCAUGAACAAAUUCACAUUGUCUUUUAAAUCUUCUGUGUUAAUGCUCAUUCUCAGUACAUGAAGGAAAUUUAAGCUUACCCAGCUUCUGUUAAAUUUCCUAUCACUUUUCACUGAAAUAUUUUCCCCUUCAAAUUGUUUUAUAGAUUGUAUCUGCAAACACAAAACCAUACUGAGGGACAGAGGUCUCUGGAAAAUGAAUGUUGGAGCUAGAGGAAAUUAACAACAUCAACAAUAGAGCGAAUCCCCAGAGUUGAACAAUUCAGGAUGCCAUUCUUCACAGUUCACAGCCCAGGGAUGCUCUGAGCAAGACUCCUGUGUGUAGGGGAAGGAAAAAGAUUCAAGCACCCCUAGCCAAGUAUUUUUGGGAUGAAAGCUGACAGAUUGGGUUCAGCAACACAGUCUUCCGGAUACAUCCAUCUGGCCGGCCCUUCUUUCUCCUUCUACAGCAAGUUGUUGAAGUUUAUUCCCAAGAUUCAAGUUCAAGUCCAUCUGAACAGUUCUCUUGAAAAUGUUUAGGACCGCUUAAAGUCUCAGUUUCUCCCUCUGAAAAAUCCAAAACAAAAGCAUUUGUGGCAGUAGUAACAAUAUCAACUAUAGUAAAAAUACUUGACAUGUUAGACUUCCAGGAUUGCUGUGAGAAUCUGUGACGUAAAUAGUAUGAAGUCACUUUAAAAGUAUGAAGUCCUCAAAGUCUCAGUUAGUAUUAUUGAUUGUAAGUUAACAACAUGUCAAACUCUUGAAAAAUAAUCAACCAAGUUCUGUUUCUAUCUCCAUAUAAUGCCUUUUAGGGAGAGACAGACAUAUCAGCUUUCCUGUUGUGGGGACAAAAUACCUGACACUUGAAACUUAAAGGAGGACAGGUUUAUUUUGGUUCAUAUUUUUAGUGGGUUUAGUCCAUGGUUUAUUGGGUCCUACUUUAAAAGAAAUUUAGCAUUAUUUUUUCCAUGCAUUUGUGCAUGCAUGUGUGUGUGCUCAUAUGUGUGUGCUUUUUCAGCUAGACUGUGAUUUCCUGAAGGGCAGAGAUGUUUCCUACAGUCUUUGUUGCACUGUCCUUGAGAUCUUUAUCCUGUGACUUAUCACACUAAGUCUCCAAAUGUGGGCCAACUGAAUUGUUAAAGCAUCUUCUACUUUUAAGAGUUUCUAAUACAAUAGUGGAAGCAGUGGCUAACAUCAAUGAUUUGAAGACCACAACCUGGGCUACGAUGGUCAUGCCACUGGCCUGCAUCAGUGAUUGGGUAGGGAGGGAGCAAAAGCUAAGAACAGUAAAAUGUUCUAUCCUUAUCUGAGCAUAUCUCCCAUCAGCUGGCCACUUCAAUUCUGUGUAUCUUGCUAUAUAUGAAUUAUGACUCAAUUAAGUUGAUUUAAAAAUGAAUAGAAAACCAGCGCUCACAGAGGCUGGAACAUGAAAAUAGCAAAUUUGAGCCAAGUAUGGACAAGUUACUGACUUAGUGAGACCCCAUCUCAAAAUAAAAAAAUAAAAAGGGCUGGGGAUGUAGUUCAGUGCAAAGGACUUGGGUUUAAUUACAUAUAUAAUUAAACAAUACUUUAAAAUAUAAAUAACGGUUUAGGACAACUAUGGGAGUGAUCUCCCAGUACCAUUUGGUAGCAAAUUGAAUUACAUGCACAACAAUCACCUUGAGAGUUCUGAGCAGGGAAUAUCGCUUCUAUCCACACUGGUCUUUAAUAGAUUGAAGAAGGACCUUGAGGAUGGUGAGGGGGAGGAAGAGUGGGUACCAAGUGUGUGAGCAUCUUAUACUCCUUUUGAAAGCCAACAGGCUCAGGCCCCAGAGUAUACUUCAUACCUAAGUUUUUACUAAAUAUAUGAUCUUAAAAGAAAAACCAUUCCACUCGUGCAUUGUCUAAGAAGUAUAGACCGUGGCCAACCAAGGCCAUGGACAUACACAGGUCCAUGCGCACUUCGAUUUGAGGCUCUGCUAUUUCCUCUCUCACCCUUAACAUCUAGAGAGAUUCAGCAAU